rnacentral:rRNA from 13 species
AGUACCGUGAGGGAAAGGUGAAAAGAACCGUGAAUAACGGAGUGAAAUAGAACCUGAAACCGUGCGCUUACAAGCGGUCAGAGCCCUUUAGUGGGGUGAUGGCGUGCCUUUUGCAUAAUGAGCCUACGAGUUACUCCUCACUGGCGAGGUUAAGGGUUUAGAAGCCCGGAUCCGGAGCGAAAGCGAGUCUUAACAGGGCGCUUAGUCAGUGGGGGUAGACGCGAAACCUUGUGAUCUACCCUUGUCCAGGAUGAAGUUGUGGUAACACACAAUGGAGGUCCGAACCAGUUAACGUUGAAAAGUUUUUGGAUGAGGUGAGGGUAGGGGUGAAAGGCCAAUCAAACUUGGAAAUAGCUGGUUCUCCGCGAAAUCUAUUUAGGUAGAGCGUCGGAUGAAUACUCUCGGGGGUAGAGCACUGGAUGGGCUAGGGCUGCGCGAGCGGUACCAAACCUAACCAAACUCCGAAUACCAUCGAGUCUUAUCCGGCAGACAGACGGCGGGUGCUAAGGUCCGUCGUCAAAAGGGAAACAGCCCUAACCUACAGCUAAGGUCCCCAAGUCAUAUCUAAGUGGGAAAGCAUGUGGGAAUCCCAAAACAACCAGGAGGUUGGCUUAGAAGCAGCCAUCCUUUAAAGAAAGCGUAAUAGCUCACUAGUCGAGUCGGCCUGCGCGGAAGAUGUAACGGGGCUCAAACU